UACGGAGGGGGCUAGCGUUGUUCGGAAUUACUGGGCGUAAAGCGAGCGCAGGCGGUUUUGUAAGUCAGAUGUGAAAGCCCCGGGCUCAACCUGGGAACUGCGUUUGAAACUGCAAGGCUAGAGUAUGGGAGAGGGGGGUAGAAUUCCACGUGUAGCAGUGAAAUGCGUAGAGAUGUGGAGGAAUACCAAUGGCGAAGGCAGCCCCCUGGCCUAAUACUGACGCUCAUGCUCGAAAGCGUGGGGAGCAAACAGG
rnacentral:rRNA from 1 species